rnacentral:misc_RNA from 1 species
GAAAAAAUAAGCAUACGCCACCCAACUAGACUCUAUUAGCUGACCUCCCCGAUACAUUCAUUCUAGAUCGACACAUGCUAAGAAAGAAAACCUAGAGAAAGCACGGUACAAAUGAUGCUCAAAUAGACCAAGACAACCAAAAACAAAAUCAUGAGAUCCGCUGGUUUUGUUUAUUUAACUCCUGGCUACUUGGUUUGUAUGUUCUGCCCUAAGGCCCUACGUUUGUAAUACUUAACUGUG